GAUGAACGCUGGCGGCGUGCCUAAUACAUGCAAGUCGAGCGAACGGACGAGAAGCUUGCUUCUCUGAUGUUAGCGGCGGACGGGUGAGUAACACGUGGAUAACCUACCUAUAAGACUGGGAUAACUUCGGGAAACCGUAUCUAAUACCGGAUAAUAUUUUGCACCGCAUGGUUCAAAAGUGAAAGACGGUCUUGCUGUCACUUAUAGAUGGAUCCGCGCUGCAUUAGCUAGUUGGUAAGGUAACGGCUUACCAAGGCAACGAUGCAUAGCCGACCUGAGAGGGUGAUCGGGCACACUGGAACGGAGACAAGGUCCAGACUCCUACGGGAGGCAGCAGUAGGGAAUCUUACGCAAUGGGAGAAAGCCUGACGGAGCAACGCCGCGUGAGUGAUGAAGGUCUGCGGAUCGUAAAACUAUGUUAUUAGGGAAGAACAUAUGUGUAAGUAACUGUGCACAUCUUGACGGUACCUAAUCAGAAAGCCACGGCUAACUACGUG
rnacentral:rRNA from 1 species